rnacentral:rRNA from 1 species
GAGUUUGAUCCUGGCUCAGAUUGAACGCUGGCGGCAUGCCUUACACAUGCAAGUCGAACGGCAGCAUGAUCUAGCUUGCUAGAUUGAUGGCAAGUGGCGAACGGGUGAGUAAUACAUCGGAACGUGCCCUGUAGUGGGGGAUAACUAGUCGAAAGAUUAGCUAAUACCGCAUACGACCUGAGGGUGAAAGUGGGGGACCGCAAGGCCUCAUGCUAUAGGAGCGGCCGAUGUCUGAUUAGCUAGUUGGUGGGGUAAAGGCCCACCAAGGCGACGAUCAGUAGCUGGUCUGAGAGGACGAUCAGCCACACUGGGACUGAGACACGGCCCAGACUCCUACGGGAGGCAGCAGUGGGGAAUUUUGGACAAUGGGCGAAAGCCUGAUCCAGCAAUGCCGCGUGUGUGAAGAAGGCCUCGGUUGUAAG